GAUGAAGAACGCAGUGAAAUGCGAUAAGUAGUGUGAAUUGCAGAAUUCAGUGAAUCAUCGAAUCUUUGAACGCACAUUGCGCCCUUUGGUAUUCCUUAGGGCAUGCCUGUUCGAGCGUCAUUUCAACCCUCAAGCCCUGCUUGGUGUUGGGCGUUUGUCCUGCCUCCGCGCGGGACUCGCCUCAAAGACAUUGGCGGCCGGUUUCCCUUUGCAGGCCACGAGCGCAGCACAGCGAGCGCUCUACGUGGACGCGGGGUCGGCGCACCAGAAGCCCUCUUUCUCGAAUUUUGACCUCGGAUCAGGUAGGGAUACCCGCUGAACUUAAGCAUAUCAAUAAGCGGAGGA
rnacentral:misc_RNA from 1 species